rnacentral:lncRNA from 10 species
GAUCAUAUGAAGUGUGCGUAUGGUACCUAUUGGAGCUAUCUUGAGCCCAUAUAAAGAGUAAGCUUUAGAAUGACGGCGACUCACAGAGAAAGCUAAGAAUCAUCAGAAAAUGAAAAUCGAUACGGCACUGUGUGCUAAUGGGCUGCCCACUCCUUCCUGAAACUACAAACUUGGAGGUCAUGUGUUGAGAUGGCAAGAACAAGAUGGAGGCAACUUGGAUCCUAGAGGAACAAGAUUGAGGAGAAUGUGCCCCUUUCCUCCUACCAGCCCAUGUUUAAUUGGGCAUAAGAAAAGAAAUAUGGAUGGAGACCACAUGAAAAUUGAAGGCAAGAGGAUGUAUGGUGUCUUCAAGAAUACCAAAGAAAUCGGUUUUGAUGUUCAACGUUUCAUGCAAGUUCAAAAAACUUGAUUCUGGUAGCAAAAUUAUAGCAGGAAGAGGAAGCAGGACACCAGAGGCUUUUCUUUUCAUGGG